rnacentral:tRNA from 2 species
GGAGUGGUACUCAAGUGGCUGAAGAGGACGGUUUGCUAAAUCGUUAGACGGGUUACACCGUGCGUGGGUUCAAAUCCCACCCACUCCGCCA